GUGCUCGCUUCAGCAGCACGUAUACUAAAAUUGGAACGAUACAGAGAAGAUUAGCAUGGCUCCUGCGCAAGGAUGACACGCAAAUUCGUGAAGUGUUCCAUAUUUUU
rnacentral:snRNA from 1 species